rnacentral:rRNA from 1 species
GAUGAACGCUGGCGGCGUGCCUAAUACAUGCAAGUCGAGCGAACGGAUGAGAAGCUUGCUUCUCUGAUGUUAGCGGCGGACGGGUGAGUAACACGUGGAUAACCUACCUAUAAGACUGGGAUAACUUCGGGAAACCGGAGCUAAUACCGGAUAAUAUUUUGAACCGCAUGGUUCAAAAGUGAAAGACGGUCUUGCUGUCACUUAUAGAUGGAUCCGCGCUGCAUUAGCUAGUUGGUAAGGUAACGGCUUACCAAGGCAACGAUGCAUAGCCGACCUGAGAGGGUGAUCGGCCACACUGGAACUGAGACACGGUCCAGACUCCUACGGGAGGCAGCAGUAGGGAAUCUUCCGCAAUGGGCGAAAGCCUGACGGAGCAACGCCGCGUGAGUGAUGAAGGUCUUCGGAUCGUAAAACUCUGUUAUUAGGGAAGAACAUAUGUGUAAGUAACUGUGCACAUCUUGACGGUACCUAAUCAGAAAGCCACGGCUAACUACGUGCCAGCAGCCGCGGUAAUACGUAGGUGGCAAGCGUUAUCCGGAAUUAUUGGGCGUAAAGCGCGCGUAGGCGGUUUUUUAAGUCUGAUGUGAAAGCCCACGGCUCAACCGUGGAGGGUCAUUGGAAACUGGAAAACUUGAGUGCAGAAGAGGAAAGUGGAAUUCCAUGUGUAGCGGUGAAAUGCGCAGAGAUAUGGAGGAACACCAGUGGCGAAGGCGACUUUCUGGUCUGUAACUGACGCUGAUGUGCGAAAGCGUGGGGAUCAAACAGA